AGAGAGAGAGAGAAAGAGAGAGAGAUAUCACCACCCUUGGAUCCCACAAUGAAGUUAACGGUCAAUGACGCUGACGGUCGUGGUAAUCCUCCAGUGAUGGGCACGCAUGGGGCUCCUUGUGUCUGCAUCUUUUCAGGACAUGGUUUAGUGGGCAUGGUGGUGUUGGGUCUUGGGUGGGUGGGCAUGGUGGUGUUGGGGACUCAAUGAGCUUAAAGGUCUUUUCCAACCUAAAUGAUUCUAUGAUUCUUUUAUAGCCCAGUUCCCGCCUUUUCUCACAUCAAUCACACCCCUCUUGGUUUUCUGCACACCGCCCCUGAGGACUUACGUAACUCUUGAUUUUCUGCCCAGGUGCCAUCAUGGGGGGUGGUAGUGAGCCCCUUCCCCAAAUAAACUCUGGUUGACCCCUGGCCAGAUACGGUGAGUUGUUCCACCCAGUUCAUCAGGAUGUGG